AAAGUAUGAACAUAUGCAACUCCUUUUCGUCUUUCUUUCUUUUUGUGUAUGUGCAAUAGAUUAAAAAAGAGAAAUAGUAUCUAAAACUAAAAACCAGAUGAUGAAUUAUACAUGAAGGCAGUCAUAGAAGAAAAAUGACAUUUGGUCGCCCAGUCAAAGCAAGUCUAGGCUUCCGAGGCAGUAAAGCAGGCUAAAUUGUCAUAGGCCAUAUAUAGCUGUUCCAUUCAUCAUAUUAUUGUCCUUUCUCUUUCUUUCUAGAGUUCCUAGAGGUGGCCAUAUCUACACUUGAUCAUUAAGCUUCGGAUAAUACCUCCCAAGCUCGCUGCUUCUCUCUUUUUUUCUCUCUCUGUGCUAAGAAGAGGAAAGGUUGCUGUCAAGCUCCCCACCUGCACCCACGUGAAGUGUCAUCUCCACCCGGCCAUUCACACUUCCACUGCAUGCCCAUCACCUAUAUUUCAUAUCCACACACUCCCACAGUCUCUCUCUCUUCUCUUGCCCCCAAGCUGAACCAACCUUCACUUUUCUGCAAUAAAAGUUGGAAGCAGCUUAAAGGAAAGUUUUUCAAGUCUCGAUCUAUCUCCUGUUUUUCUUCCCUUCCCUCUUUACUUACCCAAAAUCAGUCUUGUUAAUUUCAUCACCCAUUUCCUCUUAAGGUUAUAUAGACAUGUUUCCUUGCAGCAGCGGUUCCAACCCUUUUACAAUAUACAUGGAUCAUGGAAAGAGUAGCUCAGGACAGGAAGAGCAUCCCUCAUCCUAUUCACCUUUCGUUGUGGAUGAUGAUGAUCAUGAGCAACUAUUCCUGAGUCACCUUCUUUCACAGCAGCAGCUUUUUGUGACUACUACUACUACUGCUGCUGCUUCUCAAGCUGAGACUGAAAAUGGUGUAGCCGCGGCAACAGAUAGCAAAAAGGAGGCGAGUGUGCUGGCGGAUCAGCAGGUUCCUUGCAAGAAGAAAAGUAAACAGACAGAUCCGGCGGCCAGGAAGAGAAGUGGAAAGAAGGACAGGCACAGCAAGAUCUGUACAGCUCAAGGCCCGAGAGACCGCAGAAUGAGGUUGUCGCUUCAGAUUGCGCGUAAGUUCUUCGAUCUUCAAGACAUGUUAGGGUUUGAUAAAGCAAGCAAAACCAUUGAGUGGCUUUUUUCCAAGUCCAAGACUGCAAUCAAGGAGCUGAUGAUGAUGACACAAGUGAAGCCAACUACUACUACUACUGAUCAAGAUGCUAAUAUUAUUAAUGCUAAUGUCUCAGUUACGUCCGAUAGUGAAAUGGUUUCUCAAAAUGGCGAUUUUUUAAGCAGAGACAAAACCAACAGAAAACUACAUAGAGUAAUUGCAAGGGAUUCCAGAGACAAGGCAAGAGCAAGAGCGAGGGAGAGAACAAGGGAAAAAUUGAUUAUCAGAGGCCUUGAGAUAUCAAAGCAAAUGGGUCGACACUUAUGCUCAUCUAGUACCGCCCUUGAAGAAACAGAUCAUCAUCAUCAUCAUGACGAGAUUAUGAAAUCUGCCAAUCAAAUCGAUUCUGUAAGCAUCAUUAAUGCGGGUGCACCCACCACAAUAUCAUCUCUCAAUUUUAAUUCCCAAGACCAUUUCCCUGGAUUUCCUGCAAAUUGGAAUAACAACAAUGUUGUUAAUAUGCAGUCUUUUUGCUGCAGAAGGGCAAACGGGAAUUCAAUUUUCAUGACCACCCAAAGCGCCCAAGACCAAAACCCUAGUUCAAUUUUCGUUACGGACUCCUCAAAUCCUCUACACCAAAACCCUAGUUCAAACAUUUCGGCCACUUCAAAUAAUUCCUUGCAUUCUUAUUUUCUACAACACCAAUUCUCUUGAAAUCCUAAUUAAUAUCGAUCGAUCCAGUGCUCCUCGAUCUCUUCGGUGCAUGAACGACAAAUUAAGGAGUGGGGGCAGCCACAAAGGGACCCGAAAACAACAAGCCAGAGUACAAAAGCAGCCACUCACAAAGAAAAUAGAUGACAGAAAAGACCUUUUAAUUACAUAUAUACCUUUACAUAUGCAGAUGUUAAUUUGUUAUAUACAUGUUUAGAAGUAUCCUGGAAUCCACCGUUUUUCGUCUCUAGCAAAUAUCAAACAUGAUAGUUUAACCUAAGACGCACGACCGGAAAAGAAAAGAAAAAAAAGAAAAAAGAAAAUAGACCACAUGAAUAUAUAUUGUUUCAUGUCUUUU